rnacentral:rRNA from 1 species
UACGUAGGGGGCAAGCGUUGUCCGGAAUCAUUGGGCGUAAAGAGCGUGUAGGCGGUCAGGUAAGUGGGGUGUGAAAGUCCAGGGCUCAACCCUGGGAUGCCGGUCGAUACUGCCGGACUAGAGUUCGGAAGAGGCGAGUGGAAUUCCCGGUGUAGCGGUGAAAUGCGCAGAUAUCGGGAGGAACACCUAUGGCGAAGGCAGCUCGCUGGGACGUUACUGACGCUGAGACGCGAAAGCGUGGGGAGCAAACAGG